CAGUUUGGCUGGGCCACAGAAAGCUCUCUCCGUUUGGACAGCACGUGCAUUUGCGAGGACUCAACGUUCGUCUGGAAGUCACCAGUUAGCAUGGUAACUCGUUAAACCGUUACACCAGCUACUUCAGAAACUUAAAAUGAGUUUGAAUUGAAAGACGACAGGUCGGAGCGGGCUGUUAGAAGCACUUUGUAAACAAGGGUUACAGGUAUUGUUGAGAGUUAACACUCCCAUCAGGCGAGGUAGCAAGCAGCCUAGCCAGCCAGCUAGCACCAGGAAGUAGUGUAAAUUCGUCCAUAAUAACCUGCGCACCUGUAGCUCAAUUAAGACAAGGCGGAAGUAAUAACACUCCUCAAAUGGGCUUUGAAGGUUAUACAUCAGAAAUGGAUAGGAACAGUGUUGCAGAAAAAGUCUUGCUCUGCUAUGAAGAGACCGUCCUUUGCGACGAGCUGCAUCUUCCACGCGGUUGUGAUUCACUUGGCAGCCGCUCCAGAUAAACAUGUUGUGGUGGACAGACGCCUGGGUCCCGGUCCGGAGGAGCGGGACGGGGGAGGACAGACUGACGUGGGUGGGUCCCGGCCCUGGUCCCAACGUCAUCACGGGCAGCAGUGGGCAGCGCCAGCCACUUGGCCAGAUGGUCCUGGAGUCGAUCUCUCGCCACUGUUCAUCAAACACACCCGCUCGCUCUGUCUUUCCUCGCCAUGGCCCCUAGCAUCAUGUCACAGUGGAACCAGAGAAAAUUAGCACCUAAUUAUAGGCUCCUCUCUGUGAAGGAUGGUGCUGGUGGUGUGUGUCAGCUUGUGGAGGCUGGGUGGUUGACUCACUGUGGGGACCCGGGAUUGCAGACCACGCAGAGGACAUACAGAACACACACGCAGGCCACGGAGGCGAACACACAUAUGCAGAGGAACACACACCAGUAAAAGGCUAAGACUCCCUUCGUUCAGGAUGAUUUGAGCCUCAGCAGGGUCUGCCCCCCUCCCCUGCCUGUGAGGAUGCCACAACAGAAACCACUUGUGUUCCAUCGCUGAUCCAACAGGAUUAAUUACACACACAAUUGAAGCUGAUUCCUCGGGUUUCUUUGCUCCGCAGGCUCCCUUGUGUAAAGGAUGUGUAGUUAAUCUACGCUGGGAACAAUGGAGAUUUUGUUCUGGUGUGUUUUAGUUAAGUUGUGUCUACAGAGGAGCUUGACUUUGCUGCCAUCUUGUGAUUGCAUCUGGACAAAUACAGGAUGUAAAUGGGUAACCUGGUUUGCUUUGUAGGUGCAGUACUUAGAAUUUGUGUUAAGUCACUGUUGAAGGUAAAUAAAGGA